rnacentral:lncRNA from 1 species
UCUAAGCACAGCUUCAGCAAGGAGAGCUGAAGGUUCCCUGCCCUGCUUCUCCUUUGCGGAGCCUGUGGGGGAGAGAAGCAGCUGGGGCUCUGAGCACCCAUUUUCUUUCCAGUCCUUGGUUCUCCUUGCUGCGACGCAGGGCGUGUUGUGGUCUCACACGGAGUGGGCACACUGCAUCUUCAGUGGGUGUGGAGAGGCCUGGUUUGGAGGCUGUUGAGCAGGGUGCUGCUUUGAGGUUCUGGUGACCAGAGGAUGCCACGCCUGUUUCUGUGCUGCCUGAGGGCUCCACACCGCAGGAAAUCAGUAGCCUCAGGCUGUCUGUCUGUCCUGUCUGUGUUGCUUUCAACCUUCUGAUUUGGGGGGGGGAAGCUUUGGAGAACAGGCAUGGGGUGGGGGUAGGGGCUUUGUGUUUUCCUUGUCUUUGGUUGUGGGCCCAGCCAGGAUGUUAACCGUCCCUGGGUAGAUCCCAGGGAUUAAAGAAGAGAGAUCUCUCCUAUUCCCUGGGCCUCCUCCUUAGUUUUCAGCUCAGUGUCAGAAACAGUGACUUAAAUGUAUCAGCCUUGCUGUCAAUUGAGAAACAAGCCCUUUAGCUGUCAGAGACUGGGAUUCAUCCUGCCGGUCAGAACAAAAACCAAUUUUCAAUUUUGUAUAUUUACUUUUUAGGGAGUGAAUUUACACACACACACACACACACACACACACACACACACAUAUUCUCAAAACAUAUAUAUAUAUAUAUAACACAUAUUACAUAUGUGUUUGUAUGUGUGUGUGUGUUGAGAUUAUCUUGACUACUUUAAAAAAAUUGAUAUUCCCAUAAAAAAAUGUUCUGACAGACAAGAGAAUGAGAUAUUGGGACAGUGUGUGUGUCUUGGUAAGAACUCUGCUUAUCUCCUCUUUAAAAGGCUUGCACCAGGCAGCCAACCUUCCCUUAGGCCCCACAAAGCAUCACUUUUCCUUUCAUCUCUCACCUUUAACUUAACGACUGACUAGCACGUACAAGGCGGCAAUGGCAAGGGAUUUAUUUCUUCAGGAAAUUCGCCCAAAAGAUUUGGUCUCUUCUAGCUUCUGGAUGUCUUUACACUCUGGUUGAGUUUGUUUGUUUGUUUGUUUGUUUAUUUAUUUAUUUAUUUUCACUUGCAGUAGGCAUCCAUAAAGGAGAUCACAGGACUGUUGCACCCAAGGCCCUUUGAAAUCUCUCCUCCCAAAGUGUUAUUUGUUGGCCUGGCCUGGCAUGUAGCUCAGUGGUAGAGCACUUGCCUGGCGUGCUCCAGGCCCUGGCUUCCAUCCACAGCCUUGCCUGUUAAUUACUCUGGUAAGGAUUGAUGUAUCCAGGCACCUCCUGUUUCUGGGACUCUGUUCUUGGCCCACAUGGUGUACAAAAGGCUUACUAUGAGCCCAGGUUCAGAGAUAAGGAACUGAGGCCUGGCAGUGUUCAAUGACUUACCCAAGGUCGCAAGGCCGGUAUCUUCCCAGGCCUGGUGUCCCCGGUACAUUGUCUGGCUGACACAGCCCCUUGAAGGAUUGAUGUCAGUAGCAGAUGGCAGUGUUGUGCCGGGCUCUGGUGGCCUCUUGAUGGCGUCCCAUUGUUCCUUUCUUACUUUCUUCCCUCGGCCUUUGUGGCUUGUCUCUGAGGAAUGUUUGAUCCAUGAGCAAAAAUAAUGCUUUGUGCCAGUUACCAUCUUCCUGGCGUUUGGCCAGGUUGGUGCAAACAGUCUACUUCAUCAGACAGAUCUCAUAGAGGGAAACUUCUGAUUUUUUUGAAAUGAUGUUGAGUUUACCUGACUUAACAAAGGAUGGAUACUUUCGAAUAGCAUUUCCACUGUAGACAUGCUUACAGUCAAGCCUUCUCCUGCCUCCUAGAUCCCUGCAUCUGACUGUCUACCUGUGCUCCAGGGAUGGAAGCCUCAGCAUCCUCUUGGCUAACAGACUAUGUUUCACUAGCUGUGGCUCAUGGAUUUUUUUUUUUCUUAGACGGUAUCACCUAAUGGUUCUAUAGGUUUUUCUUCUUGGAGACUUCUUAGAAUAGGACAGACACGUCUCUGUGACUGCCCACUCCUUGGGGGUUGGGAGCCUCCCGUUGUGCCCCUGACUGUACUUCACCUUAGUUGCGUCGGUAACAAGAGCCACCACUGUUUGCUAUCUUCAUUGUUUCACUUGUGUAUUUGGGAGCUGUAUGUGUGAGGGUCUCACGGAGCCCAGGAUAGCCUUGUACUGCCUUGCCAAGGGUGAAUUUGAACUCCUGACCCUCUUGCCUGCACCCACCUCCUGAGUACUGGGUUUACAGCAAAACCAUGCUGGGGAUUGAACCCAGGGCUUCCUGCAUGGUAAGUGAUCCACUCUACCAACCAGUGAAGCUACAGCCCAGUCCUUCCUUCACCUUAGCCCUGCCACUUCCUGGAUUGCAAAUCCCAGUGUGUUGGGUGUUUGUAGGAUAGAAGGAAGAUGAUUCGUGGCAGAUGGUACACCUUACUGACAGCAGUAGAAGGGGUAGUGACAGUUAUGAUAGACCUGAGGGCACACAUCCUGUCCAAAUGCACAGUCAUACCUGAGUGCAAGUAUUUGUUGCCACUUCUAAGCCUGGCCACGUUUUCAAUCUUCCCGCAGGUGCCAGAAACUUGCAAGGGAGCUUCGUGUUUUUAAAGAGGUUUUCCAAAAGGAUGCCCCAAAGAUUUCACUCUCCAUACUUUGUCAAUAUGGUGGAAGAAAAAUAACAGCUGUCCCCCUUUUAUGCUGCCUAUAAUACUUCUACCCGUAUACCCCAGGAGUUACCUUAGCCCUUGGCUCUGUUCACUGCUUAUGCCACGCAUGUCCGCUGUGCAUCUCUGAUCUCCCAGGCUAGGGGUCGGGAUGGAUUUGAGCUGGCUCAUUCUCAGUUCCCUGACACGGGCUCCAAACAGACAUCACUUCCUAUCUUAGGUGCUCCUAAGUGUCCCUUUACAAUCUGUUCAAGAACCUUGCUUGAGAGUGACAUGACAGUCUCUAGCCAGAAACUGGCAGGCUGUCACCCAUUCCCAUUUUGAAAAUCAGAACAUUUGCCAGUCUCCAGUUUCUUGGCAUCCCCACUGUCCUCCACAGUACCCUCGGAGAUCACUGAUAGCAUUUGGGGAUCUUAUCUGCUGAGUUCUCUGAGCUCUAAGUGCUCUCGCUGCCGGACAUAAUGGUCACGUUCAUUCACCGUGUUCCUGUUUCCAUUUCAGCCCAACAGAGAAUUGAAACAGGAGUGUGGUGAUUGACUUUAGGAACAUUCAUAUUUAUCGCAGACCAACUUUUUAAUAGU